UGGCUCAGAAUGAACGCUGGCGGCGUGCUUAACACAUGCAAGUCGAACGAGAAAGCCGAAAGCUUGCUUUUGGCGAGUAGAGUGGCGCACGGGUGAGUAACGCGUGGGUAAUCUACCUUCGAACCGGGGAUAACACUUCGAAAGGGGUGCUAAUACCGGAUGAUAUCCAGGGGGCUUCGGUUUCCUGGAUCAAAGAUGGCCUCUCCAUGGAAGCUGUUGUUCGAAGAUGAGCCCGCGUCCCAUUAGCUUGUUGGUGGGGUAAAGGCCCACCAAGGCGACGAUGGGUAGCUGGUCUGAGAGGAUGAUCAGCCACACUGGCACUGACACACGGGCCAGACUCCUACGGGAGGCAGCAGUGAGGAAUUUUGCGCAAUGGGGGUAACCCUGACGCAGCAACGCCGCGUGAGUGAAGAAGGCCUUCGGGUCGUAAAGCUCUGUCGAGUGGGAAGAACCCGCAGCAGGUCAACAGGCUGCUGUGCUGACGGUACCACUUGAGGAAGCACCGGCUAACUCCGUGCCAGCAGCCGCGGUAAUACGGAGGGUGCAAGCGUUAUUCGGAAUUACUGGGCGUAAAGGGCGCGCAGGCGGCCAGAUAAGUCAGUAGUGAAAGCCCGGGGCUCAACCUCGGAAGUGCUGCUGAAACUGUUUGGCUUGAGUAUGGUAGAGGGAAGCGGAAUUCCUGGUGUAGCGGUGAAAUGCGUAGAUCUCAGGAGGAACACCGGUGGCGAAGGCGGCUUCCUGGCCCAAUACUGACGCUGAGGCGCGAAGGCGUGGGUAGCAAACAGGAUUAGAUACCCUGGUAGUCCACGCAGUACACGGUGAUCACUAGGUGUUGGGGGUAUUGAUACCCGCAGUGCCGAAGCUAACGCAUUAAGUGA
rnacentral:rRNA from 1 species